ACGAACGCUGGCGGCGUGCUUCACACAUUCAAGUCGAACGGAAAGGCCCUGCUUUUGUGGGGUGCUCGAGUGGCGAACGGGUGAGUAACACGUGAGUAACCUGCCCUUGACUUUGGGAUAACUUCAGGAAACUGGGGCUAAUACCGGAUAGGAGCUCCUGCUGCAUGGUGGGGGUUGGAAAGUUUCGGCGGUUGGGGAUGGACUCGCGGCUUAUCAGCUUGUUGGUGGGGUAGUGGCUUACCAAGGCUUUGACGGGUAGCCGGCCUGAGAGGGUGACCGGCCACAUUGGGACUGAGAUACGGCCCAGACUCCUACGGGAGGCAGCAGUGGGGAAUAUUGCACAAUGGGCGGAAGCCUGAUGCAGCAACGCCGCGUGCGGGAUGACGGCCUUCGGGUUGUAAACCGCUUUCGCCUGUGACGAAGCGUGAGUGACGGUAAUGGGUAAAGAAGCACCGGCUAACUACGUG
rnacentral:rRNA from 1 species